rnacentral:lncRNA from 1 species
ACUAAGAAAGCAUAAAAAGGUGUUGUGGAUGAAAUAUAAGGGUAGUUGACUAAAGUGAUAAAGUAGUUGACUAAAGUGUUAAAGGUGUUGUGUGGUGGGUCCACUAGUGAUAAAGUGUAAUAAAUAUAGAAUAUAAAAAUGAUAAAGUUGUUGUAAGGUGGGUCCAUUAGUGGCAAAUGGUAGUAAAUAUAGGAAAAGAAGAAGAGUAAAAAGGUACAUAAAGCACAAUAGGGCUUUAAUUGGUGGACAAAAAUUUAAGUGCAAGUAGGGCUUUAAUUCGUGGACGGAGGGAGUAU